rnacentral:lncRNA from 7 species
GUAUUCAGGAGGAGGACAGCUUCCUUUUUCAUCAGUUGAAUCCUUGGGCAAAAAUCGAUAAAUCAUAAAAUUAUUAACAAAAGCCAAUGUAUCAGAGUGUGCAGCACAACUAAUAGUUUAUAAGCUUUCUUUUAUAAACGUCCAUAACUGACAUAGCUCUGCUACUCAGAGUGACUAUGGAACUCAGAGAUGUUCUUCUGCCUCUAGGUACUUAUGACAGGUCUGAGAACACCACCGUGAAUUGAACAAAGUAGUUCCUGAGAGUAUCCCCUUGUGUCAAGGUAACUGCAGGUCAUGUGCCAGCCAAGGUUUCAAAAUUGAUAUCCCAUCUCAAGCUGCAAAGAAUCCUUAGGGCAGGCAGCGCUAUUAGAUGAGGCAGCAGGAAUUUUGAUACAGGCAAAAUGAAGAAUGUGCAUCAGAGAUAUUUCAGCAGUUUUUCUUGGGAAUCCCACCAGGAUCAGGUAGACCUGUCAUCUCUAUCUGUGCCAUGUUAGAACUGAUUAUACAGAUUCACCAAUCUUCCACUUGCCUCCUGGUUGCAGAAGGGUUAUCAGACUGCUUUAGCCCUGUGGUGACCCCAAAUCCAGGCCCAGGCUAGUUCUGCACUGAACCUAAUAAGCCCUGCUGCUAGAGCACUCAGUACAGAGCAAGGAGCCUCACUGAGGAUUCCAAGCAGCCACUCUGGGUCCAGCAAGAAGAGUUCUGAGCCAGAGUUAACAAGCUCAGCUGACCUUGGAGUAACUCAUUAUAGAGAACUGGAAAGUUUCUGCGGUGACCUGCACAUCUAUACCUUUUGGAGGUCAAGUGUAUUUUGGCUCAGAAUAAUGAAGAGCUGGAUACAUGCAUGGGGUCUUGAUUCUGUUGCAUUUUCCUUUUAAUACUCUGGAUAGUAUUUUAGAUUUCUUUAUGGAAGUCCUAAUGCCUGAAAUUACUUUUUUUUUUUCAGACAGUACUUAAUUUUUCUUAUUCUUGUCUUUUUGUUUGACCUGAAAAGCAAUUUCUUCUUUCUGUUAUAGUCCAGCAAGUUCAAAUCAUGCUAGAUAGCCCAGAGCAACAAACAUGAAAACCCUACAUUUCUCAUUUAAAAAACAUAGUUUAAAUUAAAAAUGUGGAUAUUCAUUGCUUGCCUGGUU